rnacentral:rRNA from 1 species
UACGUAGGGGGCAAGCGUUGUCCGGAAUUAUUGGGCGUAGAGAGCGUGUAGGCGGUCCGGUAAGUCCGCUGUGAAAGUCCAGGGCUCAACCCUGGAAUGCCGGUGGAUACUGUCGGGCUAGAGUCCGGAAGAGGCGAGUGGAAUUCCUGGUGUAGCGGUGAAAUGCGCAGAUAUCAGGAGGAACACCGAUGGCGAAGGCAGCUCGCUGGGACGGUACUGACGCUGAGACGCGAAAGCGUGGGGAGCGAACAGG